rnacentral:rRNA from 1 species
GUGUCAGCAGCCGCGGUAACACGUAGGGGGCGAGCGUUGUCCGGAUUUAUUGGGCGUAAAGAGCUCGUAGGCGGUUCCGUCAGUCGGGUGUGAAAACUCUGGGCUCAACCCAGAGACGCCACCCGAUACUGCGGUGACUAGAGUCCGGUAGGGGAGUGCGGAAUUCCUGGUGUAGCGGUGAAAUGCGCAGAUAUCAGGAGGAACACCAACGGCGAAGGCAGCACUCUGGGCCGGUACUGACGCUGAGGAGCGAAAGCGUGGGGAGCGAACAGGAUUAGAAACCCGCGUAGUCC